AUGAUGCUCUCCGCAGCCAAGGAGAGUUCUGGCAACUUCUCCACCUCAGCGUCAAACGAGGCUGGGCAGAGCGCUCGCAGGGGCAGCGCCCACCCGUCCCCCAGACCCUCACGCCUACUGCCCCUGAAGGCGCAGCACGGAGACGCGCAGGUGUGCACACAAGUCCUGUACACGAACGGGUGCCACCUGGCGGCGCCGCAGCCGCACGGAGGCGGAGCGGGCAGCGGCGCCACCAGGUGGGGGGCGACACCCGGCGGCCGGGGCGCGAGGCCUCCGCCGGCCUCACAGGGCCCGGGGGCGGCCCCGGGGCAGCGCCGAGGACGGGACGCGGGGACAAGCGGCCGGCCCCGCCGCCUGCGCGAAAUGGCGGCGCCCACAGCGCCCACGGCGCUAACUGCGACAGCGGAGCGGCACGCGGCACCCGCUAUUGGCUGGGGAGGGGCGGGGGGCGGCCGGCUCGACCAAUGGGGUAGAGCGCGCGGCCCGGCCGAGCCAAUGGGAGGCCGCGCUUUUUCCUACGGUCGGCGCUGCGGGGCGGGGCGAGGGGUUAGAGGUCGGCGCGGAGCCCGGCGGAAGUGGAAGCGGCCGCGGCGCCGCCUCCCAUUCUCCCGCCGUUCCCGCGUGCGCCCCGCGCUGCUCGGGCCUCGCCGCGCGCCCGUUGCCAUGCUCGCCAACACAGAGGAGUACAUAGACGGGGCGCUGUCGGGACACCUGGGCGAAGUUUUGAUAAGGUGCAAUAAUGUUUUGUACAUCAGAGGUGUGGAAGAAGAGGAAGAAGAUGGAGAAAUGAGAGAAUAAGACCCUCAUUCUAAGUUGUUUUCUCUGCUUAAUGGCUGAAGGCUGUGAACAAACCACCAGUUGUCUUUCCAUCUGGAACAUGGGAAAACACAGAUGUGCGUAUGCUUUACAGUGUGUAUGUAGUUACUAUCUAAAUGCACUUAAUCUUUAUAUUGGUUUCUAAACUACUUGGAAAUAGUUGAAAGACUUCAAUACAGGUGGGAAAUUGAUAUUAUACCACAGUGUCCCGCAGUAGUAUUGCGCUUCUUUGAGCCAUGAAGCUUGAAGUGUGGUUGUAGAACCAUUUUUAAGGCAGGGCAAAUUUCUAUAAACUCUGUAGCUAGUAACCACACAAACAAAAGACUCAGCAGCUAUAAAGGUCCAUGAACUUAAAUGGCAUUAAUAGAGUUAAAACAAUGCAGUGCAAAAUGGGAAUGUAUUCUCAGUCUCUUAUAUCUCCAAAAAAAUUAAAAAGCCCUCUUUGUUAUCAGGCAUCCAGGAUACUAAAGUUUUGGCAAGAACACAAUAGCCAGUUUUAAAAUGUUGAAAGCAAACACAGGUUAACUGAACCUGUUCCUUACCUGUCUGCACUUCCUGGUGAAAGGAGGCUGCUGCCUUGCCAGUGCUGCCAGCCAGAACUGCGCUGUGUGACGGGGUCUGAUGGAGCUCUGAAUCUACCUGCAGGUGGCUGGCGGGACGUUCUGCAUACCAGAACCCAAACAGCUAGAGGUAGCGUUCAUGGAUUUAAAUUGCGUGUUACUUUGGCCCUGCUCUUACCAGCAAUCAUUUCUAAUCCUGUUAUCAAAUCCAGAUGGAUUCUCCCCAUUUUACAGAUGGGGAAAAUAGAGCAAAAUGAGAUGCCCAGCUGUGGAAGUAGAUCUCGCUGGCACAGAACAUAGAACCAGACCCUGGUAUCAGUGUGGCUUACUGAAUUGUGAGCAAGCAGCUGCACCUUAUUUUCUACUGAGAAGCAGAAAUGAUGCUGUCUCCCUUCUCAGAGCGUCUUGGAGUACAUGAAAAAGCUCCAUGUAACAUGGUAACUGAGGUGGGCACAAACUGAGUGCGGGUCUCCCUGCACUUAAGUGAGGAUUGUAUAUGUCCUUUGGUCAAUGACUGGUGUGAAAGAGUGGCAGAUGCUUUGGGCUGGAUUUGGAUAUAAUACUGAUUAUGUAUAUUGGGGGAAGAAAAAAAAAGCUUUUGGGACAGAUACUGCAGAGAAAAACUGCCCUGUUUCUUGUGAUGGAAGUCAUCCCUGUGGCUAUGCACAUGCUCCUCUAAUAUUUACAGCUGCAGGUUGCCAGAAGGAGUGAACAGUCACGUUGGAUGUACUUGCGAAAGGCUUUCAUUAUUCAAAUCAGCUCCUUUUUGGCAGCCUGAAGGCUUACUUCACAAUUCUUCUGAAGAAGUAUCUUACAAUCCCAUUGGGAAAGGGAAAUGAGCCGUUUAAGCUAAAACAAGCACUAGUACAUGAAUAAAUCAGUACUUUUAAAUCAGUGAUGGACUUAGGAAACCUCCAAACAAGUAGAGCAAAUGUGUUCAGUGUGUUCUAGAACAUUUUAAGUAGCAGUAAGGAGGGGCAAACCCAUGUCUGGUUUAUGAUACAGCACGCCCAGUUUAGCAUACACGUAAUGCAAAGUAGUGCCUUUUCCAUGUUCUCACUGAUAAUUACAGCAGUAUCAGUAUUAGAGGGGAAGAAGCUUGGGACUGUCAUCUUAGCAUCCAGCUGCUUCCUUGCCUGGAGUGGCCUGGCACUGACUGAAAGCUGCUCCUCUGGAGGAAGGGGGGCUGGAGGUGAGGUGGGUAAAGUGAGCACUGAAUUUAGGUGGUGCCAUCAUCACGGCAGUCUUACAGCUUUUCAGAAUAACUUUGGGAAGCACUAGUGUAUGCUGAACAAAUUCUGCGUAUGUGAAUCAAUGUGAGUAGUUCCUCAGCUGAAUGGGAAAAAUGUCUCGAGUUGGGGUGUAUGGCCAGCAGGCUAAAGUCACCGUCCUGAGGGUAAAGAAUACGUUUUUGCCUUACAGAGAGAGCUAAAGCCUUCCUGUGACUCAUAGCAAGCAUUCUUCCUCUGAUUGCCCUCCUAAAGGGAGGGAGUUCUUCAACAUAGCACAGCAAUGCUUGUUGGUGUUUGAGAAAUAUCUCUGAAAAAAUCUUCAUACAAGGAAGGUCCUGUAGCAGUUUAAAAUGAGUAGAAAAGUUUUUUGUUUUGUUUUUUUUUUUUUAAGUAAAUCUCUGGCAGCAAAAUAAAUGGGAGAGCAUUUUGCGCAUGCUGUUCCAACUGCGGCAGACACUCCCUAACUUAAAAAUGGGCUGUUGAUAUUCCAGAACUGACAUCCUGUACCCAUCAGCUGGAAAGUGGCCACAUCUUUUCUGUUUGCUUUUGCAAGGGCUGCUGAGAAAUGAAUCAAAAUACUGAGACAUUUAUGCAUGACCACCAUCAAGAAGAGAGGAAAUCUCUUAAUAACCUGAUAUCCCAUUUACUUUUUCAUGUAUCUUUACUUUUUUCUUUUCCUACCUGUAUUCUUUCUACUACCUUACUUUGCUUAAUUUUUAGUGAAAUGAGUUAUUUUCUAACAAAAACUGGCAAACUCCAGAAACUUAAAAUGCCCAAAGAUAAUAAAAGUCUUAUGAGCACAGGAUAUUAUCCUUCAAGCUGAGUUAAGAACACUCACCUUUUCAGUAGGCCAAGACCCAAGGAACUGUCUUUCCAUAUGUUACUGUGAAAGGAGUUAUAUUCUUUUGACUGCUUUUAUCAAUAUCUAUGCAAUUUUGCAGAAAAAAAUAAUCAGACACUAUUUUAGAUACUAUAUUUUUAAGAUUUUUCAAAAAGCACUUUUACUGGAACAUUAAGGCAGUGAUUUAAAGGCACUACAUUUAACGAACUCAGUUCCCCUGGUAGAUUCCUCUGGCACUCUGUCUUCGUGUUUUUACUUCCAGUGAAUUCUGACAUUAAUGUUUUUAUAAUACAGCCCAACUUUUAGAAUCUCUUCUUUUGUAUGAAAUUCAAGAAUUUCUUGAGGAUGCAACCUAGAAACCGCUUUGUCUCUCUGGGUAGUACUUUAAAAAAUAUAUCAGACACUGCAUGUCAUAAACCCUGGGCUUUGCAGUAGAUUGACCUUGUUCUUCAUUUUCUUGCCUAUUAAAGAGAAGAAUCCUCAACAGAAAAACAACAGAAAGCACAUACUAUAUACAAUGUGUGAAUACAAACACACAUGCGUAGCUGUGAGUUUUCUGCAAGCAGAACACAAGGUUGAAAAUGAAAAUACUCGUGAAUACAAGGAAGGUGAUUCUGCAGUACUUAAAAAUUGCCGUAAGACAGUGCAACAAGGAAGCUGUUCAGUCCUCGUUCUAGACCUCUUUAUUUGCCUGCCAUCCCACCACACAAGAGGUGAGCUAUGUGCCGGGGUGUGCUUCAGCUGGAGCAGCAGCAUCCCUUCUCUGCUGCUUUUAUGGGCAGGGCUGAACUGGCAAGUGCCAGACUCCACCGCAGCGUGCUGCACUGCAUUCCUCACACCCCAGCUCUCACACCACCGCUGCUGCUGAAACAUCAUCCCAGGCGGUGUCCUGCCCUCGCUAUCACUCUCUCGAGAGGUUCCUCUUUAAUUUCUGUUUUCAUACAAACUGUGAUACUGCCAGGGAAAGCCAAAACAAGCAGCAGGAUCUCCUGGAAGCAGCACAGCACCACCUCUCAUGUUCACUUUUUGUAUGCCAAGUGAGAGAGAAUGCUCAGAAGGAAGACACAGACUAUGCUGUGGUGCAGUAUUUGAGCCAACAAAUCCAUCUGUUUCUGCUAUACAGGAGUAUGUAUACUCUCAUAGGUGUGUUUUAAGCAUUAUACAUCAAACACCUUUUUAAAAGAUAAUAGUGUCUGAAGAUUACCACCAUCACAAAAGUGUUUGAGGGACCACCUACUCAGAAAUACACUCCGUUUGCCAGCUGGGAAUUACUGGAGCCCUACUCCCGCUAUGAAUAUCUGAAGACAGAAGAAAACUGGAAAUCCACAUUGAGAGCGUUUGUUCCCCGACUCUCCCAUCCCUAAUUCUGUAGGGGGCAGCAGAAUCUAACAAACCUUUGAUCGUGGACUCGGAUAAAUUACUAUCUACCCAGACAAAUGAGUGUCUGCCUGAAUAUCCAGGGCGAUGAGAGGCAUUUCGCUCCCCCGGGGGCUGCAGCUGGCAGGCUGGCGAGGCCAGCAAACGCACCCAGCUCGGAAGCUCCCCAUUCCCCUGCGGGGGUCAGGGCCUCGCGGUGAUGGGGACAGCAGCCCACUGACCCUGCCAGCAGCACCCUGAGAAAACACGAAACGCUUCCAGCCCAAAUUUCUGUCAGGGGCCGAGCGGGCACCAAGUGACGGCGGGGAUGCUUCACUCGCAGCCCCCGCUAGCCCGGCCGGGAGGGCGCCGUGCCGCCCAUCCCCGGGGCGGCCCCAGCCCCUUCGGGAAGCAGGGCACCGGGUCCCGGCCCUGCCUGCCAAGGGGGCCGCCCCGGGGAGCCCCCCUCGGUGCGGGAGGCGCCAUUUCGCGCACCGCCCCGGGGGACUUUGAGCCGAGCGGCGGCCGCCCCCC
ensembl:lncRNA